ACUCCUGCGGGAGGCAGCAGUGGGGAAUUUUGGACAAUGGGCGAAAGCCUGAUCCAGCAAUGCCGCGUGAGUGAAGAAGGCCUUCGGGUUGUAAAGCUCUUUUGUCAGGGAAGAAACGGUGAAAGCUAAUAUCUUUUGCUAAUGACGGUACCUGAAGAAUAAGCACCGGCUAACUACGUGCCAGCAGCCGCGGUAAUACGUAGGGUGCAAGCGUUAAUCGGAAUUACUGGGCGUAAAGCGUGCGCAGGCGGUUUUGUAAGUCUGAUGUGAAAUCCCCGGGCUCAACCUGGGAAUUGCAUUGGAGACUGCAAGGCUAGAAUCUGGCAGAGGGGGGUAGAAUUCCACGUGUAGCAGUGAAAUGCGUAGAUAUGUGGAGGAACACCGAUGGCGAAGGCAGCCCCCUGGGUCAAGAUUGACGCUCAUGCACGAAAGCGUGGGGAGCAAACAGGAUUAGAAACCCUUGUAGUCCCAU
rnacentral:rRNA from 1 species